CAUCUUUAUGUAAAGCCGAUGAGAAAGCCAAACAAGCCCUUGAUACAUCAAAUACCGACAAAGAAAGAAGAACCAAAGAAGCGAGAAAAUUAAGAGCAAAAAUGGCUAUGCUCUCGUCCGAAAGCAAGGAAGAAUCAUCUAGAGAAAUUAUUUUAUCACGUCCUCCACGUCCUCCUGCAAAACAAUUCUUCCGCAGAAACGUACAGCAAAUCAAAAAAGGUUUGAACACGAAUCUCGAGAUCAUAAUUCUUCGUAUUCAAGAAGUGAAGAAAGACACAAUAGUACUGUACACCAUAAACUGGAAAAUGAAGAGGAUAUACCAAAUCGGCAUGUGGAUAAAACGGAUGAGAUCGGCCAUAUGCAAGACGAAGAGAGAUUACAAGAAAAAAAAAAAUGAUAAGUUGGAUAAGUCUUCAUAAGAUGCAAUUGUAAAUCAUUUAAAGAGACUGACAAGAGUAAUAGCGAUCAUAAAAUACAAUAUGCGGCAAACGCUUAGUAUAUUGGUUUUUUUGGUGAAAAGGACAAAUUCAGAAACAGAAGCCAAGAACCUAGAGAAUUCUUGUGAAAGCGUUGAAGACUGAUUUCUGUUGUAAACUGCUGAACAAUUAAUGGAGGUGGAGGAAAUCUUGAAACUUCAUAAUUCCUAAGAUAAUGUUGCAAUACAUAUAUCAAAUCCAUCGGAGGAACUAACGUCACUGAUGCCGUAAAAAAGACGUUGUAUAAGUUAUUCACCAAUAAAUCGGCGGAGAAAUAUAAUUGGGAAGGCCGUUGCGGAAAGGAACCACUACAUAAAUUGAAACUAAUAAAAAUGAUUUUUAGUUAUAGAAAAAUCUACCGGUGUAUGGAACUUGGGUUGUUGUGUGUUGAAAAUCUUCAUCAGCUGUUAGAGGAAGAUGAUGGCGCUGCAGAAGCGGUCUUACGAUCCCUAAACUGAUGGCUAGCACUAUCUAUAGGGAUAUUCCGGUUCCAUACUUUUACACCCUAUACUGUGCCUAGGAGUUUUUCAGCUACUUCCGAAUUAACGUCAACUGGUCGCAUGCCGAUAGUGCGGUGAUAACGCUUGUUGUAAUCCGACACCAGGCGCGGCAGUUCGUCGACUUGUGCGACUCAUUAAGUGUAAACAUAUGCCACAUAUUGUUUUUAAGUGUGCGAUUCCACCUCUCUAUUAUAGAUGCUUUUAAAACUGAGUAUGUAGAAUAAUGAUUAAUGUCAUGUUUUUUUAAGAGUUUCUGCACAUUGGCGUUGUAAAACUUCUUGCCUAUAUCAGUUUGCAAAUUUUUCGGACAUCUCCCUCUUUCUCGAAUUAUCUUGGCGAUUACAUCAGCCGUCUCGCGCCCGGCCUUGCUUUUGAACGGUACUGCCCAGGCGUAUUUACUCAACGCAUCGAUGAUGCAAGGACGGGAGAGCGCAUGCGUGAGCGGGUGGCAGCGGCGGUGGGUGGUGGUGAAGGAUGGCAGGUGCCGGCGGCGGGUGGCGGAUCGCGCCAGCGAACCCCGCGUUAGACUGCGCGCAUCCCCUCCACACACCACGAAAAUUCCUCCUUGGGCAAACUGCAACAGGAUGGGAGAGCGCAUGCGCAAGCGAACGAGAUAUCGCGCAUGGAGUAGCAAACGAGCGAGCGAGAGAGAUCGCGCACGGAAUAGCGAACUUUACUAAAAGAGAGAUAUCUUGCAAGAUUCGACAUGCCACUAGGCGACAACCGCGCACGACAGAAAGCUCACGUAACAUAAACAAAUCUAAAUAUUAUCUUAACGCAUCAUUAGAAGCCGAAGGAGCUGUUCGGCGCUUCUCUUUCUCUUGCAUCCACCUUGACCAAAAAUUAUUAAAGGAGAACGAGCAGUGGCGGCGGCGGCGGCGGUCCCGCGAAAAUAGCCGCACACACUCCACAAAAUAUUCGCCAUCGUAUCGCUAGUCUUAUUCUCCUCCACCCCCUGGUGAUGACAGACAUUGAAAGAAACCACCGCUUUCAAAAGUACAGUCAUACCACCCCCCCUCCCGCGGUGUGAUUUAUUAUGUUUAUGUAAACAGAGGGACAAGUACAUGGUCUAGGUUUACAAUAAAUGGUCAGUUGCUUCCACGCGGUACAUUUCAAAGAUGUCAGGUUUAUUUAAACAUCGGCCAAGAACAUAGUCCUUAUUUAUUUAAACAUUGGCGACGAUUAUCGCUAACUCUAUUUAAUCGUUGUCACUGUUUAUUUAAACAUUAGGCUUGUUUUCUAUUCCUGCACUAGACUGCACUGGAACGUUCCUUCUUGCUUUCGCUAACUUUGAAACAUCUAUCUAUUUCAUUUUAAGUGUACACUUAUUUAGAGAGUUCAGGAACAGAAAACAAACGGAUUGAUUACGCAGAAUUACACCGGAUAUCAUCCUUCCCCCGGUUAGGUUAACCCACGUAUCCCCGGUUAAAUCCUCCCUCGCCCCACCCUCACCCGGUUUGGUCCACCCGCGUGACCUUAUCUCCGGUUAAGUCCCUCCACACGGCGCAAAAAAUUGCCCCCUUUCCCCGCACUCCCCCUGAGAUCUCUGAGUUAGAAUCCGUUAUUACUAAUAAUUUCUGGCUGAACGGCUAGAGCACAAAAAUUGCGAUUAGAGCAAUUAAUUAGCACAUAAAGAGCACUAAAUCCUCUGUACGUUUCAUGUAAUUGUGCCCAUGCUGAUGGGCUAGCUUUAUAGACAUCUCCUUUCUUCAAUUUCGAUGUUAGAUAUUGUCCUAAAAAUUAUGUAUAUAAAUUAUUUUAUGUAUUAUUUUAUAUAUUAAUUGUUAUUUGUA